UUAAACAGAAUUACUCAUAAUUGUGCAACACUUCGUUUUGUUUUGUUAGGGUAUCAUUUGGAGCAUUUAUCGUUUACGUGCGUUUGUUGUUUAGCACGUAAACGACAAUUGCUCCAAAAAAUUCAACCCUUGUUUUUCGGAUAAUUAACGGGGCAGAGAGUAGUCUUAAGUUAAAAUUUGCGGUCAAAUUUUUUCGUUUAAUUCAAAGGUUAUUUUUGGGAACAUCUAUCCUUUGCACGCAUUUGUUGUCAGCGCGCAAACGACAGCUGCUCCAUAAAAUACAGUCCUGUUCUUCCGGCUAAUUAGGGUAUCUGGAAUCGGCCAGUAGAAAGUAAUAACAAGUAAAAAUUAGCCGUCACAGCUUUAUCUACUCGGUUGCCUAGAAAAUAAAUGUCUUUCUACGACAAACGGAGAAGAAUCAGCAGUGAAGGUAAUCACACAGCAAACAUCGCACUGACAUUUAUGACUUGACUUGGUUAAUUUCACAUGUGUUUAUAUAAGCGCUCUCACACGCAAAAUAGUUUACCGAGAAAGAUAAUGUUGUGAAACAAAUUGCUGUGCAGGAAAAUGCAUGCACAGUAUUUUGUUAAUAUAAACAGUUAUAAUCAGAUGCGUUCACGCAGUUCAAAAAAAUACGUGCAAGCAUUGUAACCAAACUCCUGGAUUUAUUGUAAUGCUCAAUCAUGAACAGCCGGACGCUUCCAACGACUCCGGAUACGCUACGGAUUCGGACAGUUCCUUCAGCUCCUAUGAAACAGAAGAAGAAAUUGACGAUUGCGAUUGUACCGCGGAGCAACGCGGUGUCAAUGGAGAGUGUCGAAUCACCAGCUAAGGAAAAUGGAAAAGAAAUCCAAAAAGCAACUCGAGCAAAAUCUAUUUGAGAAGUUGGCAAAGUUCCUG